rnacentral:rRNA from 1 species
CCUACGGGGGGCAGCAGUGAGGAAUAUUGGUCAAUGGACGAGAGUCUGAACCAGCCAAGUAGCGUGAAGGAUGACUGCCCUAUGGGUUGUAAACUUCUUUUAUAAAGGAAUAAAACGAGGCACGUGUGCCUUUUUGCAUGUACUUUAUGAAUAAGGAUCGGCUAACUCCGCGCCAGCAGCCGCGGUAAUACGGAGGAUCCGAGCGUUAUCCGGAUUUAUUGGGUUUAAAGGGAGCGUAGAUGGGUUGUUAAGUCAGUUGUGAAAGUUUGCGGCUCAACCGUAAAAUUGCAAUUGAUACUGGCAGUCUUGAGUACAGUUGAGGUAGGCGGAAUUCGUGGUGUAGCGGUGAAAUGCUUAGAUAUCACGAAGAACCCCGAUUGCGAAGGCAGCUUACUAAACUGUGACUGACAUUGAUGCUCGAAAGUGUGGGUAUCGAACAGGAUUAGAUACCCGGGUAGUC